rnacentral:rRNA from 1 species
UACGGAGGGUGCAAGCGUUAUCCGGAUUUACUGGGUUUAAAGGGUGCGUAGGUGGAUAAGUAAGUCAGUGGUGAAAUCUUCGGGCUUAACCCGGAAACUGCCAUUGAUACUAUUUGUCUUGAAUACUUUGGAGGUAAGCGGAAUAUGGCAUGUAGCGGUGAAAUGCUUAGAUAUGACAUAGAACACCAAUGGCGAAGGCAGCUUACUGGACAGUAAUUGACACUGAGGCACGAAAGCGUGGGGAGCAAACAGG